rnacentral:ncRNA from 1 species
UAAACACUUCGUUCUGAUGCCAAGUUAGUUAAGACUUCUAAACCACAUAUGGUAUGACAAAAGCUUUGUGAACAAUUUACUCCUAGGUAUAAACGUUAAAAACAUUUGAACCUAGGCUUUAAUACCAGAGUACAAUAGCACUCUACGGAUUAUAUCCCACAACACCAAUGAUUUAUAUUGUUUUUCAGCUAGGAAACUAGGCAACAGAGAUAGUUAAUUACAAGUGACCAAAUAAGGUGCCAGCAGUCGCGGUUACACCUAAUCUUGAAACUAAUUUUUACAAAAAAGAGGCUUAUUAAAUAACUGAUCUUAAUUUUGUCUGCAAAAGUAAAAUUUUUACUCCCACAAAUAUACCCAAACAGAUCUUUCUACUCCUCUCCUCAACAAACCACACUUACAAGACAGGGAUUAGAUACCCCAUUAUUGCGUGGCCCAACACAACAAACUCUAAAAACGAAAGUUCCAAACUUAAAGAACGUGGCGGUGUUCUACACCUUAUUAGGGGAUCCUGUGGCUUAAUUCGAUAAUCCACGACCAAUAAAGCUUUAUUAGUUCACAGCUUAUGUAUGGCCGUCUUACGCCUGCACAUUAAUGUUUUAACAGGAGACAAUAAAAGAAAACCUUUAAUAAUACAGGUGACAUAUAGCCUAUAUAAAGCAGUUCAUGGGAUACAAAUAGCUAUUACUACCCGAAAGUAACUUGUAAUUGUUACAAAAAGGAGGACUUAAAAGUAAGACUAUAAACAAUAUUUUAGUCUGAACAAGAUCUAGAACGCGCACAAAUCGCCCGUCACUCCCGGGCUCUAACCGGGAUAAGUCGUAACAUAGUAGGGGUAACGGAAGUUGCCCCUAA